AUUGAACGCUGGCGGCAGGCCUAACACAUGCAAGUCGAGCGAGCGGCGGACGGGUGAGUAAUGUAUGGGGAUCUGCCCGAUGGAGGGGGAUAACUACUGGAAACGGUCGCUAAUACCGCAUACUAUCGGAUGAACCCAUAUGGGAUUAGCUAGUAGGUGGGGUAACGGCUCACCUAGGCGACGAUCCCUAGCUGGUAUGAGAGGAUGAUGAGCCACACGGGGACUGAGACAAGGCCCAGACUCCUACGGGAGGCAGCAGUGGGGAAUAGUGCACAAUGGGAGCAAGCCUGAUGCAGCCAUGCCGCGUGUAUGAAGAAGGCCUUAGGGUUGUAAAGUACUUUCAGCGGGGAGGCGUUACCCGCAGAAGAAGCACCGGCUAACUCCGUGCCAGCAGCCGCGGUAAUUC
rnacentral:rRNA from 1 species